GUUUGAUCAUGGCUCAGGAUGAACGCUAGCGGCAGGCUUAAUACAUGCAAGUCGAGGGGCAGCAAGGGUAGCAAUACCUGUUGGCGACCGGCAAACGGGUGCGGAACACGUACAGAACCUUCCUUUAAGCGGGGGAUAGCCCAUAGAAAUGUGGAUUAAUACCCCAUAGUAAUAUUGAUUGGCAUCAAUUGAUAUUUAAAGAUUUAUCACUUAAAGAUGGCUGUGCGUAUGAUUAGGUAGUUGGUAGGGUAACGGCCUACCAAGCCAACGAUCAUUAACUGGUGUGAGAGCACGACCAGUCACACGGGCACUGAGACACGGGCCCGACUCCUACGGGAGGCAGCAGUAAGGAAUAUUGGUCAAUGGACGCAAGUCUGAACCAGCCAUGCCGCGUGAAGGAUGAAGGCCCUCUGGGUUGUAAACUUCUUUUACAGGGGAAGAAAUGCACGUUUUCUAAUGUGUUUGACGGUACCCUGGGAAUAAGCACCGGCUAACUUCGUGCCAGCAGCCGCGGUAAUA
rnacentral:rRNA from 1 species